rnacentral:misc_RNA from 1 species
GAUGAAGAACGUAGCGAAAUGCGAUAAGUAAUGUGAAUUGCAGAAUUCAGUGAAUCAUCGAAUCUUUGAACGCACAUUGCGCCCGCCAGUAUUCUGGCGGGCAUGCCUGUUCGAGCGUCAUUUCAACCAUCAAGCCCCAGGCUUGUGUUGGGGGCCUGCAGCUGCUGCAGCCCCCUAAAAGCAGUGGCGGACUCGCUGUCAUGCCGAGCGCAGUAGUUACAUCUCGCUCUGGGCAUGGCGGCGGGCACCUGCCGUAAAACACUCUUUCUAAGGUUGACCUCGGAUCAGGUAGGAAUACCCGCUGAACUUAAGCAUAUCAAUAAGCGGAGGA